rnacentral:rRNA from 1 species
ACGGGCGCAGCAAUGCGUCCGUGGCAGUCGGGUGAGUAACGCGUGGGAACGUGCCCUUCGGUUCGGAAUAACUCAGGGAAACUUGAGCUAAUACCGGAUACGCCCUUAGGGGGAAAGAUUUAUUGCCGAAGGAUCGGCCCGCGUCCGAUUAGCUAGUUGGUGAGGUAACGGCUCACCAAGGCGACGAUCGGUAGCUGGUCUGAGAGGAUGAUCAGCCACACUGGGACUGAGACACGGCCCAGACUCCUACGGGAGGCAGCAGUGGGGAAUAUUGGACAAUGGGGGCGACCCUGAUCCAGCCAUGCCGCGUGAGUGAUGAAGGCCCUAGGGUUGUAAAGCUCUUUCGCCAGGGACGAUAAUGACGGUACCUGGAUAAGAAGCCCCGGCUAACUUCGUGCCAGCAGCCGCGGUAAUACGAAGGGGGCUAGCGUUGUUCGGAAUCACUGGGCGUAAAGCGCACGUAGGCGGAUCUUUAAGUCAGGGGUGAAAUCCCGAGGCUCAACCUCGGAACUGCCUUUGAUACUGGAG